UUCGAUCAUGGCUCAGAUUGAAUGCCAGUGGGAUGCUUUACACAUGCAAGUCGAACGGCAGCACGGACUUCGGUCUGGUGGCGAGUGGCGUAGCGGUGAGUAAUGUAUCGGAACGUGCCUAGUAGCGGGGAUAACUACGAAAGCGGUGGAAGCACAUCGCACACACACUCCUUCGGGGGAAAGCGGGGACCUUUCGGGCCUCGUACUAUUAGAGCGGCCGAUAUCGGAUUAGCCAGUUGGUGGGGUAACGGCUCACCAAGGCGACGAUCCGUAGCUGGUUUGAGAGGAUGACCAGCCACACUGGGAUCAUAUUACGGCCCAGACUCCUACGGAGUGCGCAGUGGGGAAUUUUGGACAACAGGGGGAACCCCGAUCCAGCCAUCCCGCGUGUGCGAUGAAGGCCUUCGGGUUGUAAAAGCACUUUUGGCAGGAAAAGAAAACGGCACGGGAUAAUACCCUGUGCAACUGAUGGCAGGCCUGCAGAAUAAGCACCGGCUAACCACGCGCCAGCAGCCAAAGUAAUACGUAGGGUGCAAGCGUUAAUCGGAAUUACUGGGCGUAAAGUGGCAGUAUAUUCGGAAAGAAAAAGAUGAAUCCAGAGCUUAACUUUGGAACUGCAUUUUUGAAUGUUAAUGAGCUAGAGUGUGUCAGAGGGAGGGGAAAUUCCGCGUGUAGCAGUGAAAUGGCGGAUAUGCGGAGGAACACCGAUGGCGAAGGCAGCCUGGGAUAACACUGACGCUCAUGCACGAAAGCGUGGGGAGCAAACAGGAUUAGAUACCCUGGUAGUCCACGCCCUAAACGAUGUCAACUAUUGCUGGGGCCUUCGGGCCUCGGUAGCGCAGCUAACGCGUGAAGUUGACCGCCUGGGAGUACGGUCGCAAGAUUAAAACUCAAAGGAAUUGACGGGGACUCGCACAAGCGGUGGAUGAUGUGGAUUAAUUCGAUGCAACGCGAAAACCUUACCUACCCUUUGCGACAUGUCUGAAUCCCGAAGAGAUUUGGGAGGUCGUAAGAGAACCGGAACACAGGUGCUGCAUGGCUGUCGUCAGCUCGUCGUGGAGAUGCUGGGUUAAGUCCUGCAACGAGCGCAACCUCCUUGUCAUUAGUUGUUACGAAAGGGCACUCUAUCGACUGCUGGCACAAAACCGGAGGAAGUGCGGGGAUGACGUCAAGUCCUCAUGGCCCUUAUGGCAGGGCUUCACACGUCAUACAAUGGUCGGGACAGAGGGUCGCUAACCCGCGAGGGGGAGCCAAUCCCAGAAACCUGAUCGUAGUCCGGAUCGCAGUCUGCAAACUCGACUGCGUGAAGUCGGAAUCGCUAGCAAAUCGCGGAUCAGCAUGUCGCGGUGAAUACGUUCCUGGUCUUGCACACACCGCCCGUCACACCAUGGGAGUGGGUUUUACCAGAAGUAGUUAGCCUAACCGUGUGAGGCGAUUACCACGGUAGGAUUCAUGACUGGGGUGAAGUC
rnacentral:rRNA from 1 species